GAAAUUUAUAUUUAAAAAUUAAUUAGAAAGAUUUUAGGAAAAAUGGAGGGAAAAUGAAGGAAUACCUGUAGAAAGGAUCCUACCCACGCGGGCUCCGCACGCUGCACGCAUGUGAGUGUGCGUGGCCAGCACAAGACACGCACAAUGUUUGCACAUCACAUCUACGUGGGGUACGAGGCACGGUAUGCACGCACGACCCAUCGCACACCAAUAGGUACGCCCUGUUCGCACGAUAGGCUUGCACGCGCGACAAGCUAGGCUUGUGACUGGCAACAGGCUAGGGUUGUGGGCAUUGCCUCAGGUAGUGCUCACCACUCUCUUGGUGGCGUGCCACCGUCGCUUAGGCGACAUGUCACCAUCAUUUAAGUGGCGUGUUUUUUGUUUUUCCACCGCCGUCACAUCACGUCGUCCAUCCAUCGGUCGUCACAUCUCAUCAUUUCACAUUAACUUUCUCUCUCUUCACCAGAUUUUUCCACUUGGCGCAAAUCGAACGGUCCCUAGUUUUUAUAAAUAGGGACCCCCAAUUCACCAUUUUCUCAUUACU
rnacentral:lncRNA from 1 species